rnacentral:rRNA from 1 species
GACGAACGCUGGCGGCGUGCCUAAUACAUGCCAGUUGAGCGCUGAAGGUUGGUACUUGUCCCAACUGGAUGAGCAGCGAACGGGUGAGUAACGCGUGGGGAAUCUGCCUUUGAGCGGGGGACAACAUUUGGAAACGAAUGCUAAUACCGCAUAAAAACUUUAAACACAAGUUUUAAGUUUGAAAGAUGCAAUUGCAUCACUCAAAGAUGAUCCCGCGUUGUAUUAGCUAGUUGGUGAGGUAAAGGCUCACCAAGGCGAUGAUGCAUAGCCGACCUGAGAGGGUGAUCGGCCACAUUGGGACUGAGACACGGCCCAAACUCCUACGGGAGGCAGCAGUAGGGAAUCUUCGGCAAUGGACGAAAGUCUGACCGAGCAACGCCGCGUGAGUGAAGAAGGUUUUCGGAUCGUAAAACUCUGUUGGUAGAGAAGAACGUUGGUGAGAGUGGAAAGCUCAUCAAGUGACGGUAACUACCCAGAAAGGGACGGCUAACUACGUG